UUUGCUCAUUGAUCAGAGUGUCCCCCAGGGGGGUCUGUUCAAGGGAACAAUAUGACCGACUUGCCCUUUUUCCAGGGCUCCCUCUUAUCCCCUUGCUGGUUAAUCCCCAACUUGCUCGUCAGGGUGGUGGUCGCCUCUCCCGAAGCGCGAAGGUGCCAUGGCUCCAUGUCAGCUGCCCACCUUGUUGACCCCCUCAGACCGGACAUAGGACGCCCUUCUGAGGGAUUUGAGCGUGGCUCGCUCAGCCCUGGAGAUAGCUAACACUGAGGUGUGGCAUCUGCAAUCGCGACUAGCGACCCUCAACAAUCCAAGGGCAGGACCUAGGCCCGAAGCGCUGGGUUUUCCUCUGUGUGGAUCAGGCUACAAGAUUUGUUCAUGCGCUAGGGAAGAAUCAGAGAUCGUGCCUCCUUGACAUCCUGGAUUGUGUUCGCGAGGCUAUGGAGUUCAUUGUUCAACGGGGCACGUCGACGACUCUUGCUAUUGCAUAGUUGCACUUUGGUGACCGCCUUCGUGAUGUUGUCGGUUUGCCUACCAGAACAACAUUAGUAGACUUAGGUCUCCUAACGAGCGGCUUUGAUGUUGUAGGGAACACUGUGCUCGGGGUGGUGUCAAUGGAGGAAAUAAUCCAUGAUCUUCCAUAGCCUCA